GGCCCGCCAAAGACGGUAACAGCCCGGUAGUUGAAAUGGCUUUCCCUCCAGAGUGGAUCCUGAGUACGGCGGAACACGUGAAAUUCCGUCGGAAUCCGGGAGGACCAUCUCCCAAGGCUAAAUACUCCCUAGUGACCGAUAGUGAACCAGUACCGUGAGGGAAAGGUGAAAAGCACCCCGGAAGGGGAGUGAAACAGUUCCUGAAACCGUGUGCCUACAAGUAGUUAGAGCCCGUUAAUGGGUGAUAGCGUGCCUUUUGUAGAAUGAACCGGCGAGUUACGAUUUGUUGCAAGGUUAAGCGGAAAAAGCGGAGCCGUAGCGAAAGCGAGUCUGAAUAGGGCGCAUAAGUAACAGGUCGUAGACCCGAAACCAGGUGAUCUACCCAUGUCCAGGAUGAAGGUAAGGUAAUACUUACUGGAGGUCCGAACCCACGCACGUUGAAAAGUGCGGGGAUGAGGUGUGGGUAGCGGAGAAAUUCCAAUCGAACUUGGAGAUAGCUGGUUCUCUCCGAAAUAGCUUUAGGGCUAGCCUCGAGGUAAAGAGUCAUGGAGGUAGAGCACUGUUUGGACUAGGGGCCCUUCUCGGGUUACCGAAUUCAGAUAAACUCCGAAUGCCAUGUACUUAUACUCGGGAGUCAGACUGCGAGUGAUAAGAUCCGUAGUCGAAAGGGAAACAGCCCAGACCACCAGUUAAGGUCCCCAAAUAUAUGUUAAGUGGAAAAGGAUGUGGGGUUGCUUAGACAACCAGGAUGUUGGCUUAGAAGCAGCCACCAUUGAAAGAGUGCGUAAUAGCUCACUGGUCGAGUGACCCCGCGCCGAAAAUGUACCGGGGCUAAACAUAUUACCGAAACUGUGGAUGAACCUCUUUAGAGGUUCGUGGUAGGAGAGCGUUCUAAGGGCGGUGAAGUCAGACCGGAAGGACUGGUGGAGCGCUUAGAAGUGAGAAUGCCGGUAUGAGUAGCGAAAGAAGGGUGAGAAUCCCUUCCACCGAAUAUCUAAGGUUUCCUGAGGAAGGCUCGUCCGCUCAGGGUUAGUCGGGACCUAAGCCGAGGCCGAUAGGCGUAGGCGAUGGACAACAGGUAGAGAUUCCUGUACCAGUGCUAAUUGUUUAACCGAUGGGGUGACACAGAAGGAUAGGGAAUCGCACGAAUGGAAAUGUGCGUCCAAGCAGUGAGUGUGAGAAGUAGGCAAAUCCGCUUCUCGCGAAGCAUGAGCUGUGAUGGGGAAGGAAAUUAAGUACGGAAGUUCCUGAUUUCACGCUGUCAAGAAAAGCCUCUAGGAAGAGUAGUACUGCCCGUACCGCAAACCGACACAGGUAGAUGAGGAGAGAAUCCUAAGGUGAGCGAGAGAACUCUCGUUAAGGAACUCGGCAAAAUGACCCCGUAACUUCGGGAGAAGGGGUGCUCUAUUAGGGUGCAAGCCCGAGAGAGCCGCAGUGAAUAGGCCCAGGCGACUGUUUAGCAAAAACACAGGUCUCUGCAAAACCGUAAGGUGACGUAUAGGGGCUGACGCCUGCCCGGUGCUGGAAGGUUAAGAGGAGUGCUUAGCUUCGGCGAAGGUACGAAUUGAAGCCCCAGUAAACGGCGGCCGUAACUAUAACGGUCCUAAGGUAGCGAAAUUCCUUGUCGGGUAAGUUCCGACCCGCACGAAAGGCGCAACGAUCUGGGCACUGUCUCAACGAGAGACUCGGUGAAAUUAUAGUACCUGUGAAGAUGCAGGUUACCCGCGACAGGACGGAAAGACCCCGUGGAGCUUUACUGCAACCUGAUAUGGAAUGUUUGUACCGCUUGUACAGGAUAGGUAGGAGCCGAAGAGACGUGUGCGCUAGCAUACGAGGAGGCAAUGGUGGGAUACUACCCUGGCUGUAUGACCAUUCUAACCCGCCACGCUUAGCGCGUGGGGAGACAGUGUCAGGUGGGCAGUUUGACUGGGGCGGUCGCCUCCU
rnacentral:rRNA from 1 species